AACAAAAUAUAGCUCAUGACCUCAACCUAUGUAAUUAUAUAAGUAUAACUUAAAUAAAUCAUUUACCCUUAUUAAAGUAUAGGCGAUAGAAAUAAUAUCUGACGCUAUAGAGAAAGUACCGCAAGGGAAUAGCUGAAAGAAAAUUUUCAAGUAAUAAAUAGCAAAGCUUAAUUCUUGUACCUUUUGCAUAAUGACUCAACUAGAAAGUAUUAGCAAAGAGGAUUGAAGUUAACUCACCCGAAACCAGACGAGCUACCUGUUAGCAGCCUAAAGGGCACACCCGUCUAUGUAGCAAAAUAGUGGGAUGACUAUAAGGUAGAGGUGAUAAGCCUAUCGAGCCUGGUGAUAGCUGGUUGUCCAGAACAGAAUUUUAGUUCUAACUUAAACUUACAAAAAAAGAUAAUAAAUUAAAAUGUAAGUUUUAGAAAUAGUCUAAAAGGGUACAGCCUUUUAGACAAAGGAUACAACCUUUGUUGGAGAGUAAGAAUAAAUUAAACCACAAUAGUUGGCCUAAAAGCAGCCACCAAACAAGAAGGCGUUCAAGCCCAACAGCACACAAAAAUUAAUACUAAUAAUACAAUUAAUACUCCCAAUGUAAAACUGGACUAUUCUAUUUAUAAAUAGAAGCAAUAAUGUUGAUAUGAGUAAUAAGAAAUAAUUCUCCUUGCACAUGUGUAUAUCAGAACGAAUAGACCACUGAUAAUUAACAAAACAGAUAUAAUCAACCAACAGAUCCUCUAUUAUUAAUUGUUAGCCCAACACAGGAGUGCAACCAAGGAAAGAUUUAAAAAAGUAAAAGGAACUAGGCAAACACAAACCCCGCCUGUUUACCAAAAACACCACCUCUAGCAUAAAAAGUAUUAGAGGCCCUGCCUGCCCAGUGACUCUGGUUUAACGGCCGCGGUAUCCUGACCGUGCAAAGGUAGCAUAAUCACUUGCUCCCUAAAUAGGGGCUCGUAUGAAUGGCUCCACGAGGGUUUAACUGUCUCUUACUUUAAAUCAAUGAAAUUGACACCCUCGUGAAGAGGCGAGGAUUGAAAAAUAAGACGAGAAGACCCUAUGGAGCUUUAAUUAGCUAACUUAUAUAUUAAUAAUCUCCCUCUACAAGGACCAAAAUUGUUUAAACUAAGUUAGUAAUUUGGGUUGGGGUGACCUCGGAAUAAAAUAAAACUCCCGAGAAAAUAUAUCAAGACCCAUAAGUCAAAAUUAUUACAUUACACACUGAUCCGCCACUUGGCGAUCAACGGAACAAGUUACCCUAGGGAUAACAGCGCAAUCCUAUUUAAGAGUCCAUAUCGACAAUUAGGGUUUACGACCUCGAUGUUGGAUCAGGACAUCCCAAUGGUGCAGCAGCUAUUAAUGCGUUCGUUUGUUCAACGAUUAAAGUCCUACGUGAUCUGAGUUCAGACCGGAGCAAUCCAGGUCGGUUUCUAUCUAUUUAUAAGCCUCCCCCAGUACGAAAGGACAAGAGAGGCGGGGCCUACUUAAAACAUAAGCGCCUUAAUAAACAGAUGAGCUAAUAUUAAUCCCCCCCCCCC
rnacentral:rRNA from 1 species